UACGGAGGAUGCAAGCGUUAUCCGGAUUUAUUGGGUUUAAAGGGUGCGCAGGUUGUUUGAUAAGUCAGUGGUGAAAGUCUGUCGCUUAACGGUAGGAUUGCCAUUGAUACUGUUGGACUUGAAUAUGGAUGAGGUAGGCGGAAUGUGUAGUGUAGCGGUGAAAUGCAUAGAUAUUACACAGAACACCGAUUGCGAAGGCAGCUUACUGAACCAUAACUGACGCUCAUGCACGAAAGCGUGGGGAUCAAACAGGA
rnacentral:rRNA from 1 species